AUGAGAUUGAUUUUAAAGGGUUUUAAAAUUGCCAAUGGUGGUGCAUUGUGUUUGGCGCACAAAAAACCUGGUUCGGGACCAAAACCGGCCAACCUGACCUGAACUGGUUCGAUUCCAAACCGACUCCAAAGCGGCUCGGUUUUCUUCCAAACCACUGGUUCCGGACCGGUGAUCCACCUCGUUGCUACUCAUCCCAAACUGCUUUUGUAUACACUCACUUUUUAUUCACUUUGCUUAUUAGUUAUGGCUUCAUAAAGUGCUCAAUCAUAUGCAUUCAUAAACAAUAGCCAAACACUAAAAUAAAAUUAACAAAUACAUUAUAUAUUAUAUUAUAUAAUAGUAUAAUUUACAACAUUUUCAUGGAGUAAAGGUUGUACAUACUGCUUAAAGUCAUGUACUAGUUUUGUUGGUACUUGACCUCAUAGACACGUAACCCCCUACUUGUAACAAUUGUAGAGAGAGACAUAAAAAGAAAAGGAAAUGCAGACUUUAGAGAGAGAAAGUAAGAGUCUAAGAAAGUAGAGAGAGAGCAGCAAAGAAAAAGUGACCCGAUGGGUUCCGGCCGCCGGUGAUGGCGGAACCAUGGCGCCUUUAGACGGAGCUACAACAGUGGUGGUCUAGGUGGUGUCGGGUUGGAGAAAUAAACAAAAGUGGUGGUGCUAGGGUUUGACAGAGGAUGAUGGUGGUGGUGUUAGGUAAGAGGCGGUGGUUCAAUUGACAACUGUGACGACCACAACGGACCCGAUUGCAAAAGGCUGGAGGGUAUGGUUGGAGCCCCCUAGGGGAUUUAUCAGGUCACGUAAGCGACACGUAGGAUCCACGUCAGCCAGGGGGCUUUAUCACGCCCCCCUUUAACUUGCAGGGUGUGGGAUGGAGCCCCCUAUUAAACAAAAUUAAAAAAAAAGAUUUCAUUGGAUUAAAUCAAGUGGGCUCCACCUGAACAUCUCAUUCUUGGCGUUAACAUGAUGGAGCCCCCUCCUAUAGCGCCCCUUGUUAACAUGGUGGGUGUGGAUGUAUUGCGCCUAGGGGCGCUAUGGGUGAUGAUGUGGCCUAGGUGGCGCUCCCACACCCUCCGGCCUAACAGUGACUGCAGCGUUUUGAAGGUUUAGGAUCCCGGCAAGACUUCAGUUAAUUUCUACGAGUUUUGCGGCAAGCUACGUUUCGCUUGCAUGUUUUACUUUUGUUUAGAUCGGCUCCUAACGAAUAUGAAUCGGUGAAAGUUGCGAUAAGUGUUAUUUUCUUGCUCCUUAACGAGAAGCAUCGUCUACUUUACCUGGCAUAAAUAUUCUACUAAAUAGUUUAUUUACGAAGGAUAUGUCCAGCUUCAGCCUCCAUUCAGAGACGGAAUUUACCAAAAGAUAAAUUAUUUAGGAUAAGGUUAAGCUUUCAGCCUUUUUGUUAAGUGAAAGGGGUCUUUCAAAUACUUGUUAACUAUCCUGUUUUACUUCAUGAAUUUUGCGUUUUUGCUGUUGAAAGUUGUUGAGAGAAAGACCAACGAAGAUUGUAAAUUUUUGUUAAAAGAGGUGGCAAAAUGGGUGGCUUGAAUGGUUGAUAAAAAAGUAUGCUGGGUUGUUUAUUUUUUUAUUUGUUAAUACAUUGUAAGCAUAUACACUAAUACACAUAAAAGAAAGGUAAUUUGGAGUUGUAUUCUUUUUAGGUUGUAAAAACAGUUGUAUCUAGGAAGGUAAUUUUUAUGAGAGUAAGUUAGACUUUUGAGAUGAAAAAGAUUAUAAUGUGUAUUAGAAGAUCUAAGAGGAAAGAAUAGAACAUGGAGAUUGGAUUGCAUUAGGGGACUGUGGAAACAAGAUCAAAAGCUAUUGAUGAUAGCUAUGUUGGUUGUUUGCGGGAGUCAAAGACGGGUUAACUCAGUCAACCAAGUUGACUCGGUCAACACAGUAAGUCGGGUCAGAACCCUCUCAAAUGAUGGGAAGCUGGAUAUGUAGUGAGAGCGGUAACCGGUCUAUUUCGAUGAUUUUCAUAAUUGUAUAUCAUUAUUUAUUUUGAAGGAUCACAAAUUUAUUAAAGGAUCAAGAGAAUUACAAAAAUGCGUAUUGAAUUCGAGUUUGGGCUAUAUUGAUGGUUCUUAAUAUGUAUUUUCGCAUCAAAGUGGUAUCAUUAACUCUGAGAAUAAUGAUCUGAUUGGUUGUUUAAUUUGUUUUUGCGAAUUCUUGACCCCAUCGCAACGCACAGGGUGCAUCAUCCUAGUUAUUAAUAUUUGUAAUCUUAGAAUUAAGUUUUUUGUAUUUGAUUUUUCUAUUUUGUUGUUUGAAAAAUAUAAAAGUUGACUUUUAUGAAAAAAUAGUUGUGUCUUAAAAAAAGAUUAAAAUGUGCGUGCUCAAACUAGUUUACGAACUAAAACCAAAACUAAAGCAAAUUGAGACCAAAUCGAAAUCGGUCUUUCAGACCGACCAAACUGAUUUCAACCAAGAACCGGUGAACAAAAACCCUGGUUGAAAACCGGUUCAGGUUUGUGAGAAAAAACUGAUUUGUACACCUCUACUUCCUAAUCGAUGGUGAUGGUUAAUGAUAAGCAUAUCAUGAUGACUGUUUAUACAAUAAAUUCAUAAAAAAAUUCAACUAAUUAAUUUGUUAAAGACUUAAUUGAUUUACAAAAUCAUAAUAAUUUCAAAUAUUAAGAACAUUACAAAACUCAUAACUUGUAUAAUUCAUAAUAUCUGAAGAAAUUUGCGACUUUUAUACUUCAUAAAUUAUUAAAGCAAAAUUAACACAAACUCAAUAACUAAUCUAUAAACAUAUAAAAAAAUAAUGUAUCUAACGUCUUUUUUGUGUUGAUAAGUUCAGGGCCGUCUUUGAGGGGAUGCGGGGUGGGCGACGGCACAGGGCCCAAACUCUUCGAGGGCUCAAAACUUUUUAAUUUUGUAUAGAAUUUACGUUGUAUAAACUAAUAUAUACUGAAUCGAAGAAUGACACAAACAAGCUCUUGUCGGGGUGGUUAUUGCCUUGCUUAGACAACAAGGAGACUUUGAUUCUAAUCCCGGCGUCUCCAAAUUCUCUAUUUUAGCUUCAUUUUUUAGUUUUUUUAGUUGUAUAUGACAUUUAAUGCCUAAUUUUGUCAACUACAGUUUUUCCUUUAAUUAAUAAAUUACUAACUAGGCUUAGCAAAAAAUAACUAUUUAAAUUACUUUCACAUAAAUUUUAGUGAUUAAAUAAUUGAUGAGUUUAUAAUAUAUGGAAAUUUACGAAUGGGGCCCAAUUUUUUUUCUCGCACAGGGCCAAUUUUUUUUUUUGUUAUUUUCGGAGACGGCCCUGGAUACGUUGACACUACUAGUCUACUAUAUAAUUGAAUAUCAAUAGCAAAUAAAUAGUUAAGUUUCUG
rnacentral:lncRNA from 1 species